rnacentral:rRNA from 1 species
UUAGCGGCGGACGGGUGAGUAACACGUGGGUAACCUACCCAUNAGAUUGGGAUAACUCCGGGAAACCGGGGCUAAUACCGGAUAAUAUUUUUAACUGCAUGGUUCNAAGUUGAAAGGCGGCUUCGGCUGUCACUUAUGGAUGGACCCGCGUCGCAUUAGCUAGUUGGUGAGGUAACGGCUCACCAAGGCGACGAUGCGUAGCCGACCUGAGAGGGUGAUCGGCCACACUGGGACUGAGACACGGCCCAGACUCCUACGGGAGGCAGCAGUAGGGAAUCUUCCGCAAUGGACGAAAGUCUGACGGAGCAACGCCGCGUGAGUGAUGAAGGCUUUCGGGUCGUAAAACUCUGUUGUUAGGGAAGAACAAGUGCUAGUUGAAUAAGCUGGCACCUUGACGGUACCUAACCAGAAAGCCACGGCUAACUACGUGCCAGCAGCCGCGGUAAUACGUAGGUGGCAAGCGUUAUCCGGAAUUAUUGGGCGUAAAGCGCGCGCAGGUGGUUUCUUAAGUCUGAUGUGAAAGCCCACGGCUCAACCGUGGAGGGUCAUUGGAAACUGGGAGACUUGAGUGCAGAAGAGGAAAGUGGAAUUCCAUGUGUAGCGGUGAAAUGCGUAGAGAUAUGGAGGAACACCAGUGGCGAAGGCGACUUUCUGG